UACGAAGGGGGCUAGCGUUGCUCGGAAUUACUGGGCGUAAAGGGCGCGUAGGCGGAUAUUUAAGUUGGGGGUGAAAUCCCGGGGCUCAACCUCGGAAUUGCCUUCAAAACUGGAUAUCUUGAGUUCGGGAGAGGUGAGUGGAACUCCGAGUGUAGAGGUGAAAUUCGUAGAUAUUCGCAAGAACACCAGUGGCGAAGGCGGCUCACUGGCCCGGUACUGACGCUGAGGUGCGAAAGCGUGGGGAGCAAACAGG
rnacentral:rRNA from 1 species